GGGAGAGGUAGAGGUAACGGGAGAGGUAGAGGUAACGGGAGAGGGGAGGGAGAGGGCGAGAUGGAGGGAGAGGUAGAGGUAACGGGAGAGGUAGAGGUAACGGGAGAGGGGAGGGAGAGGUAGAGGUAACGGGAGAGGGGAGGGAGAGGUAGAGGUAACGGGAGAGGGAGGGAGAGGGCGAGAUGGAGGGAGAGGUAGAGGUAACGGGAGAGGGGAGGGAGAGGUAGAGGUAACGGGAGAGGGGAGGGAGAGGGCGAGAUGGAGGGAGAGGUAGAGGUAACGGGAGAGGGGAGGGAGAGGGCGAGAUGGAGGGAGAGGUAGAGGUAACGGGAGAGGGGAGGGAGAGGGCGAGAUGGAGGGAGAGGUAGAGGUAACGGGAGAGGGAGAGGGCGAGAUGGAGGGAGAGGUAGAGGUAACGGGAGAGGGAGGGAGAGGUAGAGGUAACGGGAGAGGGGAGGGAGAGGGCGAGAUGGAGGGAGAGGUAGAGGUAACGGGAGAGGGGAGGGAGAGG
ensembl:lncRNA